UAGUAAAAUUGAAUAUGCAAUGCAAUGCAGCACAGUGAUAUGAUAUAAGAGGUUGUGAAAAGUGAAUCAUACCAAAAGCCCAGUAAGGCAUUGGAGCUGGUCUUCCAAUGAAGGAUGUGUACUGAUCAACAACACUAAGAGGCGUGGGUCCUGCAAAGAAGUAAAAAUCAAGUACCCCUCCAAUAAUCUUGUACGUCAAAGAGGUCCCUUUGUAAAACACAUCCAUUCCAUUGCUAUUCAACAACAAAACACCAUGUGCAUUAGGCUUGCCACCUUCAUGAUUUCUAAGAUCCAUGUAUACAGGAUGAGACCCAUAUAGAUCAGUGUUGAGAUUAAUGGCUGCUACAUCAGUGGUAUACAAAGUAUAAGGAUCAUUAGGAUACAACUUUAUCCCAUGUGGCUGUGAGUUCUCUCCCAAACCAUACAGAGAAGCAUCUUUGGGAAGUUUAGUAGAAAUUUCCAAGUAUUGGUCUUUGAAGACCAAUGGACCAAAUGGGUCUGACUCAUUAGAAUUGGAGUCAAAAAGAGUAUCACCAUUGGACUUCCUUUUCACUGCAAAGCUAAAUGGAUCAGAAGUGUAACUGAAAACAAGCUCAGAGCUUGAGUGCUCUGACACUGAUAAUGAAUUCUUCUUCAACCUCUUAAUGUUCUGCUUCAAAGGUGAUGGUUGCUCCCUAGGCAAAAGAUCAUAAGGAACCUCCCAUCUUUUGCUUUUUGCAUCAGUUAUGUGUACCCUCAAACGACUUUCAGUCUCGUGCCUGCAAAAUUAAGGAGCAAAGUAUAAGGUUCAUAAAUAAACUUGAUAGAGAAAAAGAAAAAAAUAAUGACAUCUUUGUGUGUGAGGAUGAGUUACUUGACGUAGAAGCGUAGAAGGGGAAUGUCAGAACCAUAUAUGUCAUUCUUCUCCUUAACUUGUAGGAGUCCUGUAAUGGCACCAUUAGGGUCAUCUUGAAUUGAUAUCAAACGGUAACCUUGACCAAUUUUUGUGGACUUUGAAGAAGUAAUGGCUGGUUCAGCUAAAGAGAGAAACAAAGUUAGAAGAAGAAGGUAAGAGAGACAAAGAGUGGAUAAUGGAUUAAGAGAAGCCAUAGUAACACACACUUGACUUUAGAGUAAAGCAAUGUGGGAGGGUUAUGCUUUAUAACUUACUUUUGUUGUUGUUUGUGAGUCAUAGGAUCCAUUACCUUACGCGUGACUUUGGCUUAGGAGGAGGAUCACGCUAGUCUGUUAUUGUGGGCCAUACCAUCCCUGUGGUGUGUGUGGACCCACCUUGCAUUUCACUCAUUUUUGUUAUGGUUGUUGUAUGUGGAUCAAAGCCAAAGAUACAACAGAAUUGUUGUUCUUACGUUGUGCCAUAAAUGACGUUUUUGCUCUCUUGGCAGUUAAUUGGUGAGGAAUUUGAAUUUCGGCUGUAGUUAAUUGCCGAGGAAAAUCUCGGUAGUUAACUGCCGAGAAAAACUGAUUAUGCAGACAGUGGGUUCUGCAUAAUUCUAAACAUUUUCAAUCCAUUUUUUCGGCUAGUUUUUAACUGUAAUUAAACCAGAGCAUUUCCAAAGGCAAAAUAAUUCAUACAACGUUGAAACUCAGACAUAAACAAGAUAAAUACAAUAUCUUUUACAAUUGUCCAUAAUUAAAUUAAACCGACAUUUGGUUAAAAUUACACAAACGUUUGAAAUUCAUCAAAACAUUACAAAGUGUCCAUAACAAAGUGUCCAUAAUUAAACAACUCAUUACACAUUAUUAAAUUAAAUCCCUACUUACAUUCAACACAAUUGCAUAUGGAACGAACAUACAUAUAUAAUAUAUUAUCUUCCACCAUAUUCCGAAACAUAAAUCUGACGUCGCUAUCGUCGCGAAUAAGCCAAGGCAUAUAGCUUGCCGUUUUCCAUGCGUAUUCAUCUCUAUCUUCUCCUAGGUCUAUGCAUGGCAUUUGACCAAACAAGUGACGUGUAUAUUGAUUUUCACCAAGAUGCUCAAAAUAAGUGUUAAGUUGUGCCUUCAAAUCGUCAAGAGAGUCUGUCGGCGUUAUCAUAACCUUAACCGUCUUUUUAAACGCGGAGUACCUAACACGCCCUUCAAUUUGUGCAACCUCAGACAUGUCUCACUUGAACAAAGCUUUAAGAAAAGAAUUAUAUAUUAGAACAAAAUUAAAUGGAAUGUAAUAACGAAUAAAUCAAAUGCGUAAACAUUAAUAAGCUAUAAAUAAGUAUUGCAUUAGUUUCACCACAUAAAAGUCAUAUUAUCAUAUAAAUAUAUAUCAAUAUAAAUUACAUAUGUUACUUAUAUAUUGGCCACAAAAAAUUGGCGUUACAAUUUCGACCCCAAAAUAUAUGUCGGUGUAAUUUCUACCAAAAAAAAGGACUAACACCGACAAAAAAAAUCACUCAUUAAAGACCAAGUGAUUGGAGAAGAUCAAGUGACAUAGAAUCUUCCUCAUCUUCCGCAAUAACUUCAAAUUGUUGCUUUGGUUUUUCGGGAGUAUCCAACAAAAUAGGCGCCGCUUUGUUUGACUCCUUUUGUGGUUUUGACGGUUUGUUUCCACUUUCAAUAGCCAUGAGUUUUCGGAACAACUCAUGUUGAUCCAAAUACUCAUCUUCCCAAGUCACCGCAUCUUCUUUCUUGUGAUUGUGACACUCCGUAGAUGAUGGAGGUAGUGGACAACCAUUCUUCAAAUAAAUAAGCAUGAAAUGAUUCGGAAUUGCCCCAAGGUACAAGAUGAGAGUUUUUUUAUUACCCGGCGGUGGUGGCCCUCUUAAUGGGAAAAAAGAUUCCGAGUUUCCAACUUCAAGAUUUGUCAACACGACCACACACAUUUUGUAAUAAUUAGCAACAAUGUGUACCAUGUUCGGAAAAGUCAACCACUUAUCAACAAGAUGUGCACAACUUUUUGUAUUUGCGGGAGAAUGUAAGCCGUUUAAAAUGUAGUUAUAACGAUCCUCACCCGCAAAUACUUCAACAUAAUCAUCUCUAUGAUCUGUCAACUAUUGAAUAAGAUGUGUACGGAUCAUGAGAUGAUUUUUUCGGUCAAGCCCAUGAACUCGGCUAUAGUCCGGAAUCCACAAUGUCCAUCACCAAUAACAUCCACCACUUUUUCAAUAAAUGGAAGCAUGAAGCGUGGCAUAUAAUCAAUAGGACACAUAACCGGGAUAGCCUUAGGCUUUGGAUACCGAGUAGGUGGUGGAAGUGGGGAAAGUGAUGAUUUACCAAGACGAGCACCUUUUUUCCUUUUAUAUGAUGAUAUUGUUGGUGAUGGUGACAGUUGGCUAUCCGGAUUUUGGGAAUCAACAACCUUCCACGAAGAAGGGAUCCGACUAGUCGAUGUAAUUUUUCCUUUAGACCUCGUAAUGUUGACUUUUUUCUUUGCUCCCUUGGUUGGUACUUUUCGUGGUGGUGGAGACAUCAUGGUGGUUUUAGGAAAUUCCAACUGCCGCAAACCCUCUUUGACCUCAAGCUUCAUUUGAAAAGGGAGUUUCUUUAGAAGUUCUACAAUAGCUUUCAACUCAACCUCGACACAAAAAGCAACUUCAUUACUUUCUUCACACAUACGUAACCUAAGCCAAUGGUGGUAUAUCUCAUCCAAUAAAAUUGGCUUCUCUUCAAGGAGCUUAGUAGCAAUUUCGCAUGCACAUGGUAGCUCGUAAGAUGUCCUUUGAACACAACCACAAAUGUCAUUGUCCAUGGACAAUGUUUCCCUACAACGUGUCUCUUCCAAAGCAAUAUUGUCCAAAGUAUAUCUAGACACAUGACCACCUAACCCCGAGUACAAAAUGACAUCUUUAAAUCUAUGUUCCAACACGCUAACGCUGUGACCAAAAAAUGUUUGUAUAGCAGUGAACUGAAGCAACAACAUGUCAUGUAUUUUCUCCCAACAAGUACCCAAAUCACCCACACUAUUGUCCAAGUAUUUCUUCAAAAAAGCAUGAGACAAAUCGACCCUGUUAGUGGUCCUGCAACCAAGAUGCAACACAUGGUAUGUCCAUGCCCUCACAAUUUUGUCCUUCACUUCAUUCAAGGUGGUCAUGACAUAAUAUAAAAAAAUUGGGAAAUCACUAAAUGAAUCUUAGAACUCCACUAAUGCAUUUGCAUAUAACUGUUGAGUGGGCGAUUCAACCAUAGCUUUCCAUGCCCUCAUUAUCUUCUUGACAAUAUCGCGAUUACUCACCUAUUUCCCAUCCUUUUUUCCCAAAGGAUAUUUACAAUCUAAGACACACCUUUGUUUAACAUUUGUUUGCAUAUGAAAGUAACAAUUCAUUGCAUAACUUUCGGGAAAAACAUUUGCAACCGCUUUCAUCAAAGACAUAUCCCUGUCGGUAACAAUCACCUUAAGCAUAUUCAUCUUUGACGAAAGAAGUUUACGCAACAUUUUUAAAACCCAAACAAAGUUUUUCUCUUUCUCAUGUGUCACAAAUCCAAACCCAACCAAAUAUGUCAAAUCGGUCGAAGUGACCCCAACUACCUCAAACAUUGGCAUCCUGUACAUGUUGGUUUUGUAGGUGGAGUCCAUAACCAAAACCGUUGGAAAAUUGUUAAACAACUUAACGGAUGUUAGAUGAGCCCAAAAGAUAUCUUCGAUUGUAGUACUUUCACUUUGUGUUCUUGAGUAAUAAGUAUAGUUGUGCUCCUCCAACUUCGACAUUAGAUAUUGCAACGGCUUCUUGUCACCUCUAUUUGCCUUCCAUAUUUGUUGACGUUCAUUGUACACUUGCUUCACAUUUGUCAUGCAAUGUGGUCUUUUGUUCUUCAAAUGUAUCAAAAUAUUUCUUGGAAGCAUCUAACUCUUGGUCAAGUCACGAACAAUCUUCUUGUCGUCCUCCUUUAAUCUACCGGCAAGAAUGUGUCCUUCUAAAGCCGGCUCCAUCGCAUGGUAGUGAACUCCAUUAAGAAUGUUCAAUCUCCAUUCCUUUAUUUGCUUACUUUGAUAUCCACUAAUCAUGAACAAGCACCCACAUUUUCUUGAGCCCGUUCUCGCAUGCUUCGGUUUUUUUUCGGCACUUUGUGAGCUCCACUCCUUUCACACACUAGGCGGAACAUUGGAUUGAUCAAGCUUGAUAUUUGUGUAACAAUUGUAAAUCCCGCCUUAUUUGCUUGACGACGCACCUACUCAAGCAAUUCAUCUCUAUCUUUCGACUUAACGUCGUCUGAAAAAAAACCUAGCUGUGUCGACCUCGUGGGUUUGAAGUGGGAGGACACCAGAGCCGCCAACAUACUUUGAAGCUUCUACAUGGACGGAAGCUCCAUCAAUGUUUGGUUUCGCUUCAACCUUAGGCGGUUUGACAUCUCCGGAAAUUUCGACAAAAUUUUGUUUUGUCUCUCCCGGAACAUCUUCCGCGUUCUCUACCAUUACUAUAAUUAUACAACACAUAAAUAUGAAUUAACAACUAACUAAUGCAUAAACAUCAAUGCCAUAAUGAAUUUAAAAAAACAAAACAAAAAAAAACAAAACAAAAAAAAAUUAGAAAAAAUGGCAGUAGCUUGCCAUUUUUUCGUUGUGAAAAUUUUUCACAAGAGUUCCUCGGCACCUUACUACCGAGGUUUUCCUCGGCACUACACUACCGAAGUUUUCCUCGGUAGUUAACUGUCGAGGAUUUCCAUGACAGGGUUCUACGUAACUGACGUAGAAACCCAUAACAUAACCAAAAAAUCAAUCGAAUAAAAUGCACAAUACCUGUUUUUUUACGUCAAAAGUGUGUUGAUACCUCCUAUGCUUGAUGCUUGAAUGAUUUUGGAUCAAGAAUUGAUAAAAAAAAAAAUAUUGGAUUUUGGGAUUGAAUGGAGGUGGAAAUGAAGUUGAUGAUGAAAAUAGUGUGUAGAGGGAGCAGGUGGCUGUUUCAUCUGAUAAAACAUUUCCUCGGCAUUUAACUACCGAGAUUUUCCUCGGCAGUGAGCAGAUGGCUGUUUCAUCUGAUAAAACAUUUCCUCGGCAUUUAACUACCGAGAUUUUCCUCGGCAGUUAACUGCCGAGGAAACAAAAAUGUCAUUUACUCGUGUGGCACAACCUUAUGUAAUGUGGGAACAGCAAUUCUCAAGAUCGUAAGGUGAGAUAAUCAUGUACCGAAAGAAACUACACAUACUUUUUUUUGCAUAGAUAUACCUUAAAGUUGUUUGAUUUUUUACCCUAAAUAAUAAUAGCAACGUUUUACAUAUUGUUACUUGUUUUUCUCUUCACUUGUUUAACCGUCUUCACAUAACAGCACAUGACCUCAUGUGACAUCGAUGUAACACUAACAUAUAGUUGGAUUCUUGGUCUUCAACAUUUUCUUGGUAGAAACUGAUUUUCAACAUUCGAUUUUAAAGCAAAAGGGGUUGUAAGAUACAACAAGGAGUUAAGAAUUCUGUAGGUAACUUGUAAAAUGAAAAAGAAUUUUAGGUAGCUUCAGGGUUAUCUGAAGAAAAUAUUUGAUAUAAAUGUUAUUUUAAUGGUUAAAUUGUAUUUUUGGUCCCUUAACUAUUUAGGUAGUAUCGCUUUGGUCCCUUAAUUACAAUUCGAUUUAUUUUGGUCUCUUAAUUUCUCUCUGUUACACAUUUUGAUCAUUUUCGUUAGUUUUAAUUCAAAAAUGUUAGGUUUUCUUCAUUUUCUCUAGGAUUCUGGUAAAGAUACAACUUUGAAUUAUUUUUAAGAUGUUCAUAUUAGAUGUUGGUCAAAAAAAUGAUUAUUAUAAAAUUUACUUUUUACUAAAACUGGUAAAGAUACACCUUUGAAUUAUUUUUAAGAUGUUCAUAUUAGAUAUACGCAUUUGUGAAAAAUAUAAAACUUUUUUUUGGAGUACUGAAGAAAUAAAAGCUUUUACGAGAAAGAUGUUAUAAAUAUUUGGGGGUACUUAAGAAAUAAAAGCUUUUACGAGAAAGAUGUUAUAAAUAUUUAUCAGAAACUAUAUAAAAAAUAGAGUAGAUGUAGAAUAAUUUGUGACAAUUUUCAUUUUCUCUCUUCUUAUUGGUCAUAGAGAAAGAAAAAGAAAGAGAUAAUAAAAAUAUAAUGUGAAUAUGAGAGAUAAAGUUGUCAAAAAGUUGUAAUAAAGUGGUUAUAUAAAUAUCAUUUCUCUAUCCAUGCGAGUUUAACUCACUUGGUAGGGACAAUCCAUAUUUUAUGCAGGGGUCGGAGUUCGAACCCCGGACACCCCACUUCUCCACAUUUAAUUGUGUGAGCUCUAGCCACUGGGCUACUUGACAAAAAAAUAUAUAUCAUUUCUCUAAAAAAAAAAUAUAAGUCACAAAUAAAAUGUAUUUUUUUUAAAAAAACUCAAUGUUAUUCAAAAUAAUUCUUGCUUUAUUACACGAAGAUAGGACAAUAAUAGGCCUUGUAAAAAAAAAGACAACAAUAGGGGCAUAGAAAUUUAAGUCUAGCAUUGAGAUAUAAUAAAGAUGAGAUAGUCUAAACUUAUGAUCCCAUCUUCCAAGUAAGAGCAAAUCUUUUUCCUACAGGGAUAUUCAAGCCCUUGAUUCCAACCAUUACUGUCUUCUUUUCUUCAUCUCCUUGCUUGAACAAGUACUUAUGUUCAGAUGUACUAACUUUCACAUAUGAGACACCAAUUGAUGGUUCCCCAUCUAUCUCAAUACUAACUAAUGUUCCACUUCCAUAAUUCAAUCCCAACACAUUUAUUGUGUCAAUAACUAAACCUUUAUCCAAAACAAACUUACCCUCUUGAACUUGUGACCAAAUUUUCACAGUUCCUUCUUUCACACUUGCAUGGAAAUCAAUGUAGGUUGAAUAGCCAUUUCCUACCUUCAUUUCUGGCAUCUCAUCAUCAUCAAGGAACAAGUUCCCUUUAGCUUCUCCUUCAUUUGCACCUGCUGGAAAGGUCACAAUGAGGCUAAAAGGUGUCAUUCUAGCAUCCUUAGAUACCAUACCACCUUGUUGCAUAGGAAGAAUAGUAUUCUGAUAUAAAUGCACAUUGACAACAUGCAAGGGUGCAUCAAGAGUCACAUAGUUUCCGUCUUUUGAAACAAUGACUUGUGUCAAAUCAAAUAAACUGUACCAUGUUCCAGGAGGAAAAAGUGCUUUAACUUCUGUUUUCCCUGGCUCAAGAACAGGAGAAAUCAUUAAACUGCUCCCAAGUAAGAACUGAGUGCUGAGGCCAUAACAUUCAAUAUAAUUUGGAAAUGAGAAGAAAAGAGGCCUAGCAAUUGGAGCUCCACUAAUAUGAGCCUCGUAGUUUAUUGUGUAAAAAUAGGGUAGAAGCUUAUACCUCAUCCCCAAGGCAUUUCUAGCUGAUUCAGCUACUGACUCCCAUUGGUAAAGUUCUUGUCUAGGGGAAAUGACACUUGAAUGAUCCCUCGAGAAAGGAUAGAAAGCACCAACUUCAAUCCACCUAUUACAAAGCUCUUCAGUAGAUAUAGGGUAUCUUAAAGUUGGAUAGAAAGAUGGAUAGAAACCACAUAUAUCUGCCCCAACCAUUGGCAUGCCAAAUAUUCCAAAGUUGAGGAUGGUAGAUAUAGUAUAUCUUAAAUCCUCCCAUGUUCCUUUGUUGUCACCUGUCCAAUGAGCAGCAUAUUUGCCUGAUCCUACAUAAGUCGAACGAGACAAAACGAAUGGUCUUUUACCUUGAAGUUCGGAAAGUGCCUUGUGUGUUGCAAUGGCUUCAGAGAAACCAAAAAGACUAUGAGCAUCAUAUUCCAACACACCAUUAUAAUGAACUGCACUAGUGGCUAUAGUUUUGUACCCUAUUGGAAUCUCGUUUCCUGAAGCAUUGAUUUUGUAAGGAGGAUCAUCCCAUCUUGUGCUUGUGAUGUUUGUACAAUCUAAGCAACAUGUUGAAUUUGGUAAUUUUUCUCCCUGGAGUGGACAAAAUCUUUCCUUUGGAAUAGUACACUUUCCGGUGCAAAAAUUUGAAACUUCAUUCAUGUCAAUCCAUAAUCCAUCAAUAGGAACAAGUUCAUGGAAGCGGCGAAUUUCAUCGGCCCACCAAGAAACUGUUUUAGGAUUGAGAAAAUCAGGAAAGUAAACAGCCCCUGGCCAAACCAUAGCCAUGAAUGGUUCACCUUCAUACUUGAUAAAAACAUCAUUAGCCAUACCCCUUUGGUAUACACCAUAUUUGGUGUUAACAGCAAUUCCAGGAUCAUUAAUCACAAUGUAUUUCAUGCCAAUGCUGUGUAUUCUGUCCAAAAAGUUUAAAAGCUUUGGAAGUGGGUAGUUAACUGGAUUGACUGUAAAGUCCUUGUGUCCAUCCAUGUGAUCAUCAUCAUUCCAUAUCACAUCAAGUGGAAUUUUAGCUUUCUUGUAAUUCUCAACAACAUCUUCAAUAACAGAUAGGUUGUGAUAACCCCAUCUGCAUUGGUGGAAUCCUAUAAAUACACCAAACCAAAAAUUAAAUAAGUGAGCAUAUUGGUCAUGAUGCAACAGGUUUCAGCAAAGUUGUUAGUUAAGAGUAACUUAAUAGAAUUUGUAUAGGAGAACAGUCUAAUCUAUAUAUAGUCUUGGCAUCUGGAAAUUAUGGACUCAUAGUUUGUUGUUAAAUUUGCUAAAACUUCUAAUAUUUUCUUGAUCUUAUCUUUUUCUGCUAAAUCCUUCUAGUGUAAUGUAUAUUAUUAUGUUGCUAGACUACACAAUUUAUUCUGCCAUUUGGAAAAAAAUCAUUUCAUUUUCAUUUAAGUGAUAAGAAAAUAUGCAUUACAAUGAUGGGACUAAGAUUUAAGAAAGAGUGAAAAGUGAAUCAUACCAAAAGCCCAAUAAGGCAUUGGAGCUGGUCUUCCAAUGAAGGAUGUGUACUGAUCAACAACAUUCAGAGGCGUAGGUCCUGCAAAGAAGUAAAAAUCAAGUAUUCCUCCAAUAAUCUUGUAUGUCAAAGAGUUCCCUUUGUAAAACACAUCCAUUCCAUUGCUAUUCAACAAAAGAACACCAUGUGCAUAAGGUUUUCCACCAUAAUUUCUGAGAUCCAUGUAU
rnacentral:lncRNA from 1 species